UACGUAGGGCGCAAGCGUUUAUCCGGAAUUAUUGGGCGUAAAGAGCUCGUAGGCGGCUUGUUGCGUCGGAUGUGAAAGCCCGGGGCUUAACUCCGGGUCUGCAUUCGAUACAGGCAGGCUAGAGUUCGGUAGGGGAGAUCGGAAUUCCUGGUGUAACGGUGAAAUGCGCAGAUAUCAGGAGGAACACCGGUGGCGAAGGCGGAUCUCUGGGCCGAUACUGACGCUGAGGAGCGAAAGCGUGGGGAGCGAACAGG
rnacentral:rRNA from 1 species